GGGUUGUGAGGUUAAGCGACUAAGCGUACACGGUGGAUGCCCUGGCAGUCAGAGGCGAUGAAGGGCGUGCUAAUCUGCGAUAAGCGCCGGUAAGGUGAUAUGAACCGUUAUAACCGGCGAUACCCGAAUGGGGAAACCCAGUGUGACUCGUCACACUAUCAUUAACUGAAUCCAUAGGUUAAUGAGGCGAACCGGGGGAACUGAAACAUCUAAGUACCCCGAGGAAAAGAAAUCAACCGAGAUUCCCCCAGUAGCGGCGAGCGAACGGGGAGGAGCCCAGAGCCUGAAUCAGCAUGUGUGUUAGUGGAAGCGUCUGGAAAGGCGCGCGAUACAGGGUGACAGCCCCGUACACAAAAGCGCAUGUGCUGUGAGCUCGAUGAGUAGGGCGGGACACGUGGUAUCCUGUCUGAAUAUGGGGGGACCAUCCUCCAAGGCUAAAUACUCCUGACUGACCGAUAGUGAACCAGUACCGUGAGGGAAAGGCGAAAAGAACCCGGCGAGGGGAGUGAAAAAGAAACCUGAAACCGUGUACGUACAAGCAGUGGGAGCCCCACCACCAAAGCAUUUGCUGUACCGCGUUGACGGAGCGAAGCGACGUCAAACCGAUAAAACAGCAGUGUAAAGUGAGCCGCAGGGCGCUUUGCGCGACAGCGCAAAGGCAGGCGGUUUCGCGUAGCGAAAGCGAAUGCUUUGGGGUGGGGUGACUGCGUACCUUUUGUAUAAUGGGUCAAGCGACUUAUAUUCUGUAGCAAGGUUAACCGAAUAGGGGAGCCGGAGGGAAACCGUAGUCUUAAUUGGGCGUUAAGUUGCAGGGUAUAGACCCGAAACCCGGUGAUCUAGCCAUGGGCAGGUUGAAGGUUGGGUAACACUAACUGGAGGACCGAACCGACUAAUGUUGAAAAAUUAGCGGAUGACCUGUGGCUGGGGGUGAAAGGCCAAUCAAACCGGGAGAUAGCUGGUUCUCCCCGAAAGCUAUUUAGGUAGCGCCUCGUGAAUUCAUCUCCGGGGGUAGAGCACUGUUUCGGCUAGGGGGCCAUCCCGGCUUACCAACCCGAUGCAAACUGCGAAUACCGGAGAAUGUUAUCACGGGAGACACACGGCGGGUGCUAACGUCCGUCGUGAAGAGGGAAACAACCCAGACCGCCAGCUAAGGUCCCAAAGUCAUGGUUAAGUGGGAAACGAUGUGGGAAGGCCCAGACAGCCAGGAUGUUGGCUUAGAAGCAGCCAUCAUUUAAAGAAAGCGUAAUAGCUCACUGGUCGAGUCGGCCUGCGCGGAAGAUGUAACGGGGCUAAACCAUGCACCGAAGCUGCGGCAGCGACACUGUGUGUUGUUGGGUAGGGGAGCGUUCUGUAAGCCUGUGAAGGUGUGUCGUGAGGCAUGCUGGAGGUAUCAGAAGUGCGAAUGCUGACAUAAGUAACGAUAAAGCGGGUGAAAAGCCCGCUCGCCGGAAGACCAAGGGUUCCUGUCCAACGUUAAUCGGGGCAGGGUGAGUCGACCCCUAAGGCGAGGCCGAAAGGCGUAGUCGAUGGGAAACGGGUUAAUAUUCCCGUACUUGGUGUUACUGCGAAGGGGGACGGAGAAGGCUAUGUUGGCCGGGCGACGGUUGUCCCGGUUUAAGCGUGUAGGUGUGUGUUCCAGGUAAAUCCGGUUCACUUUAACACUGAGGCGUGACGACGAGGCACUACGGUGCUGAAGCAACAAAUGCCCUGCUUCCAGGAAAAGCCUCUAAGCAUCAGGUAACAUCAAAUCGUACCCCAAACCGACACAGGUGGUCAGGUAGAGAAUACCAAGGCGCUUGAGAGAACUCGGGUGAAGGAACUAGGCAAAAUGGUGCCGUAACUUCGGGAGAAGGCACGCUGACACGUAGGUGAAGUGAUUUACUCAUGGAGCUGAAGUCAGUCGAAGAUACCAGCUGGCUGCAACUGUUUAUUAAAAACACAGCACUGUGCAAACACGAAAGUGGACGUAUACGGUGUGACGCCUGCCCGGUGCCGGAAGGUUAAUUGAUGGGGUCAGCGCAAGCGAAGCUCCUGAUCGAAGCCCCGGUAAACGGCGGCCGUAACUAUAACGGUCCUAAGGUAGCGAAAUUCCUUGUCGGGUAAGUUCCGACCUGCACGAAUGGCGUAAUGAUGGCCAGGCUGUCUCCACCCGAGACUCAGUGAAAUUGAACUCGCUGUGAAGAUGCAGUGUACCCGCGGCAAGACGGAAAGACCCCGUGAACCUUUACUAUAGCUUGACACUGAACAUUGAGCCUUGAUGUGUAGGAUAGGUGGGAGGCUUUGAAGUGUGGACGCCAGUCUGCAUGGAGCCGACCUUGAAAUACCACCCUUUAAUGUUUGAUGUUCUAACGUGGACCCGUUACCCGGGUUGCGGACAGUGUCUGGUGGGUAGUUUGACUGGGGCGGUCUCCUCCUAAAGAGUAACGGAGGAGCACGAAGGUUGGCUAAUCCUGGUCGGACAUCAGGAGGUUAGUGCAAUGGCAUAAGCCAGCUUGACUGCGAGCGUGACGGCGCGAGCAGGUGCGAAAGCAGGUCAUAGUGAUCCGGUGGUUCUGAAUGGAAGGGCCAUCGCUCAACGGAUAAAAGGUACUCCGGGGAUAACAGGCUGAUACCGCCCAAGAGUUCAUAUCGACGGCGGUGUUUGGCACCUCGAUGUCGGCUCAUCACAUCCUGGGGCUGAAGUAGGUCCCAAGGGUAUGGCUGUUCGCCAUUUAAAGUGGUACGCGAGCUGGGUUUAGAACGUCGUGAGACAGUUCGGUCCCUAUCUGCCGUGGGCGCUGGAGAACUGAGGGGGGCUGCUCCUAGUACGAGAGGACCGGAGUGGACGCAUCACUGGUGUUCGGGUUGUCAUGCCAAUGGCACUGCCCGGUAGCUAAAUGCGGAAGAGAUAAGUGCUGAAAGCAUCUAAGCACGAAACUUGCCCCGAGAUGAGUUCUCCCUGAGACUUAGAGUCUCCUGAAGGAACGUUGAAGACGACGACGUUGAUAGGCCGGGUGUGUAAGCGCAGCGAUGCGUUGAGCUAACCGGUACUAAUGAACCGUGAGGCUUAACCUUACAACGCCGAAG
rnacentral:rRNA from 1 species